ACCCUUUCAGGAUUGCAGCUGGAGAGUUUCCAGUACUCUACCAGUCUCAGCCAAGGGAGAAUCAAGCAGAGGCAUACCCAUUCCAUUUCUAGUAUGGGCGGUGGCUAGCAAGUGGAAGGCAAUCUGUUACAAGA